rnacentral:lncRNA from 1 species
CCCCUUGGUACGAAAAGGAAGAGGGAAAUAAUGGAAAAAUGAAGAUAAGGCCACUAUCCAUAUCAGCAUACUGCAAGAUUUUGCAGAGAGUUGUAUCGAAUAUCAUCAUUUAUACACCAUAUAUAUCUCCUCUCAUGGUUCUAUAAGAUAUAACAAAGAUUUAAUUAAUGGGAUAAAUUUCAGGUAUACCGUAUACCCAAUAAUCAUCUUCCUAGUUUUUCUAGCUUACGAAUUAGCCAUUGUACAUCAAAGAGAAGCAAGCAUGGAUGACAUGUUGAGAUCAAAAGGAAAGGGAAAAAAGGGCCAUCAGGGCUAC